rnacentral:rRNA from 1 species
CACGCUGUAAACGAUGAGUACUAGGUGUCGGGGGUUACCCCCCUCGGUGCCGCAGCUAACGCAUUAAGUACUCCGCCUGGGAAGUACGCGCGCAAGAGUGAAACUCAAAGGAAUUGACGGGGACCCGAACAAGUAGCGGAGCAUGUGGUUUAAUUCGAAGCAACGCGAAGAACCUUACCUAAGCUGGACAUCCCAAUGACAUCUCCUUAAUCGGAGAGUUCCCUUCGGGGACAUUGGUGACAGGUGGUGCAUGGU